UACAGGGGGUGCAAACGUUGCUCGGAAUCAUUGGGCGUAAAGCGCACGUAGGCGGUUCGUUAUGUCGGAUGUGAAAGCCCUUGGCUUAACCGAGGAAGUGCAUCCGAAACUGGCGAGCUAGAGUACGAAAGAGGAUCGCGGAAUUCCCGGUGUAGAGGUGAAAUUCGUAGAUAUCGGGAGGAACACUGGUGGCGAAGGCGGCGAUCUGGGUCGAUACUGACGCUGAGGUGCGAAAGCGUGGGGAGCAAACAGG
rnacentral:rRNA from 1 species